rnacentral:rRNA from 1 species
GACGAACGCUGGCGGCGUGCCUAAUACAUGCAAGUCGAGCGGAGUAUUUUGGAGAGCUUGCUCUCUAAAAUACUUAGCGGCGGACGGGUGAGUAACACGUAGGCAACCUGCCCCUUGGACUGGGAUAACUACCGGAAACGGUAGCUAAUACCGGAUAAUUCCUCUUAGCUCCUGCUAGGAGGCUGAAAGGCGGAGCAAUCUGUCACCAGGGGAUGGGCCUGCGGCGCAUUAGCUAGUUGGGGGGGUAACGGCUCACCAAGGCGACGAUGCGUAGCCGACCUGAGAGGGUGAACGGCCACACUGGGACUGAGACACGGCCCAGACUCCUACGGGAGGCAGCAGUAGGGGAUCUUCCGCAAUGGGCGAAAGCCUGACGGAGCAACGCCGCGUGAGUGAUGAAGGUUUUCGGAUCGUAAAGCUCUGUUGCCAGGGAAGAACGUCCUUAAGAGUAACUGCUUAAGGAGUGACGGUACCUGAGAAGAAAGCCCCGGCUAACUACGUGCCAGCCGCCGCAGUAACAC